UACGUAGGGUGCAAGCGUUAAUCGGAAUUACUGGGCGUAAAGCGUGCGCAGGCGGUUUUGUAAGACUGUCGUGAAAUCCCCGGGCUUAACCUGGGAAUUGCGAUGGUGACUGCAAGGCUAGAGUUUGGCAGAGGGGGGUAGAAUUCCACGUGUAGCAGUGAAAUGCGUAGAGAUGUGGAGGAACACCGGUGGCGAAGGCGGCCAUCUGGACGAGCACUGACGCUGAGACGCGAAAGCGUGGGAGCAAACAGG
rnacentral:rRNA from 1 species